UUUGGAAAAGUAAUGGAGUCCAGUCAACUUCAUUGAUCUCCAAGGACUAUCAAAAUUAUAAAACUUGCCGUGGAGCUCUGACAUGCCAGAAGCCGCUAGAAAAAGAAGUUUGACAUUCAGAAACUUACCAAGAGGUUCUACUCUUUGGAUAGAGACCAAAAUAAUACUUUGAAAAAGCCUGACAGGUUUCUUCGGAAAAGUGGCCAUCCAUGGAAUGAAUGAAAUGUUCUCUUUCUAUUCCAGGGAUUGCAGUGGCAAAGCUAGGCUAGGUCUUGGAAGCUGGUGUAAGGCGAUGCGGGUGAAGGCAGGAGGCUGAUGGAAAGACUGGGGGGAAGAAAAGCCGAAAUGGAUUCACGGUGCCUUGGAUGAAGGACGAGAGGGGAACUGCAAGCUCCUUCAACUGGUUCUGUCCGGUGAGAAGUGAUCAAGCUUGGGCUGACAAGAGGCUCAGGGAACCCUCACGUUCUUUCGCUUUUUUACCUGCCAAUCAAACUGCUACAAGACAACACCCUGAUCUGGCAUGGACAUAUCCAACUUAGAAAUAAUGUUUCAUUCAAGAUAAGGCUCGUGGUUUAGGAGAUUGUGACCUGGCUUGCAUCAUUCUAAGACUUCUAUCAUCGGUUUUCAAAACCCAAGGAGGACCUCAUUCUCUGUGUGAUAGUUCCUCAUGCUUUGCCAGCCACUGGGUCUUUAAGGAAGCUUGCCAAGAGUUCCCAGCUGGGAAGGACAGUUCGAGUUCAUCAUAGACAGUGAGCUGGCACCACAGUUUAAGUGACUCACCAACCUGGUUGUCCACUUCAAAAUGUCAAGAACCGCACUAUCUAAUUGAAAGAACUGUGUUUUAGCAAAGUGUAAUUGGAUCGCAUGGCAAGAUCAUCUCAAACUAUGUCUCUGACCUUGCCUUUCAGUGGCUGUUUGGAGCACAAGAGGAGAAAGGAAAUGAUUCCUGAAUUACAUAUUGCUUUUAAAAAUUAAGAUUAAUUAGUGGCCGGGCGCGGUGGCUCAAGCCUGUAAUCCCAGCACUUUGGGAGGCCGAGACGGGCGGAUCAGGAGGUCAGGAGAUCGAGACCAUCCUGGCUAACACGGUGAAACCCCGUCUCUACUAAAAAACACAAAAAACUAGCCCGGCGAGGUGGCGGGCGCCUGUAGUCCCAGCCACUCGGGAGGCUGAGGCAGGAGAAUGGCGUAAACCCGGGAGGCGGAGCUUGCAGUGAGCUGAGAUCUGGCCACUGCACUCCAGCCUGGGUGACAGAGCAAGACUCCAUCUCAAAAAAAAAAAAAAAAA
rnacentral:lncRNA from 1 species